UCAAAAGCUAGUGACUAUUGCAGUCGACAAUCUCAGAUCCCGUGAUGGAUAGCUGUCCGGCUCAGACGAUCAGUCGACGACGAUCUAUUUAACAUAACAAAAAGUGUCCGGUAGCAGUGCUUGAAAGUUGGAAUCAGCAGCGCGGAGAGAAGAAAAAAGUGCUUUUAUACAGUUCAUCCAUUCGUCAUCUGGUUCCACAUUUAUUUUGCGUGAUAAUAAUUUCUUUGCCAUGCUGAUGGACAAUGAAGGCAGAAAGUAGAAGACAAGUUUGAAGAACUCCAGCAACGAAUUGAUGGGCGAUAUUUUUUCACAACUUGGGAAAGAGAAAAUAUAUAUUUUUAUUUUCGAGGUACAAUGCAAUUAAUGUUGACCCGCUGAGUCUCUAUCAUGAUCACCGCGAGCCUCUGCAAUAAAAUAGCGUUUCGGGGAAACGGCCAUUACUCCGGUAAUAAUUGAAAAAUACCCCUUUGAUGCAAUGAAAAUGGUGCUAUGCCCUUAAAAAUAAAUUCAAACUUCCCUCAUUUUUCUCGGUCAAAAAGGUAUAUAAUCCCUUAAGAAGAGAGAGAAGAUAGUUCAGAGAAAAAAAAACCAAAACAAAAAUUCAAAAAUGCAUUUGAAGGUGAGCGAAACACGCAUUUCAAUCUUUACUCAAGAAACAAAAUAACUCCAAAUUCAGGUAGAACCACGAAAAAUAUAAGUGCUUGAUUUCAGUUUGACAGAAAGCGACCAAAAGCAUCGGGAACAAACAAAACGGUUAGAAUAAAUCAUAUCAGAAAUGAGCUAAAAAAUAAAUGGGUCAUUCCAUCUCAGGUGUGCACACCUCAUGAGAAAAACUCAAGUUACAGCAUUCU